rnacentral:rRNA from 1 species
CGGUCCUAAGGUAGCGAAAUUCCUUGUCGGGUAAGUUCCGACCCGCACGAAAGGCGUAACGAUUUGGGCACUGUCUCAACAACAGACUCGGUGAAAUUGUAAUUCCGGUGAAGAUGCCGGAUACCGGCGACAGGACGGAAAGACCCCAUGGAGCUUUACUGUAGCUUGACAUUGGGUCUUGGUACUACAUGUACAGGAUAGGUGGGAGGCUUUGAAACCAGGACGCCAGUUUUGGCGGAGCCAUCCUUGGGAU